AGCGAACGCUGGCGGCAGGCCUAACACAUGCAAGUCGAGCGCCCCGCAAGGGGAGCGGCAGACGGGAGAGUAACACGUGGGAACGUACCCUUCAGUUCGGAACAACCCAGGGAAACUUGGGCUAAUACCGGAUACGUCCGUAAGGAGAAAGAUUUAUCGCUGAAGGAUCGGCCCGCGUCCGAUUAGCUAGUUGGUGAGGUAACGGCUCACCAAGGCGACGAUCGGUAGCUGGUCUGAGAGGAUGAUCAGCCUCACUGGGACUGAGACACGGCCCAGACUCCUGCGGGAGGCAGCAGUGGGGAAUAUUGGACAAUGGGCGCAAGCCUGAGCCAGCCAUGCCGCGUGGAUGAUGAAGGCCCUAGGGUUGUAAAGUCCUUUCGGCGGUGAAGAUAAUGACGGUACCCGCAGAAGAAGCCCCGGCUAACUUCGUGCCAGCCGCCGCCGUAAAAC
rnacentral:rRNA from 1 species